rnacentral:lncRNA from 1 species
AACCCUCAAACCUGUCUCACUCUCCUCUCUCAAAGCUUAGAGACUGGAACCCUAGCCGCCCUGUUUUACUCCACCAUCUCCGCCGUGGUCCGCCGACCAGAAAUCACCUCAUGGCGGCGGACCACCUCCAAUCACCUCCAAAUUACACCACAUAAUCUAUUUGCCCUCCUCUUUUCGAAUCUCUCAACUAUUUUUCUAAAACCCUUAUCAAAUCCCUCGAAUCUUAGAUCUAAGAUUGAUACCCAAAACCCUAGUUCGCCCAAACCACCCUAAAACCUCACCAAGCCAUCUCUCCACUCCCUUCACCCCUAAUAUCCUGUUGUUUUUGCCCAAAAGGCCUCUUAAACUUGAGCAAUUUCAAAUCAAAAAGCUGGAAAGAGGGGAAAAGGAAAGAAAACCUAAAAGCCUCUACUGAAGUUCAAAUGGUUCAUACCUACACGAGUCAUUUUCUCUCAACAUGAGCAAUUGAUUCAUGUAGGUUUGAUUCAUUUUCAAACCUGCCCUAACCAUGUCCAAGCUCCGGUCAGGUUCUCCGAGUCCAACUGGUAUAGGUAAUUUCUUGUUUGGCUUCUUUUCUUGACCAUUUUUCUUUUCUUUGAUUGAUUUCUUCGUGUGGUUGUUCUGUUUGUAGUUGCAUGAUAUAAGAUUUUUAUUUUUUUUUAGGAUUGUUUGUUUACUUAUGUGUUUAAUCAUUAAGGUUAGUCAGUAGUUUUAGGGUGAUUUGUGCAUAUUUUUCAAUUACUAGUUGGUCAGUUUUGUUGCGGCUAGGGUUGUCUAAAUUGGUUUAGCUUGUGUCUAGUCGAGUUUAUUUUAGAAUCAGCAUGUUAGUUUCUUGUUGCGAUUCAAUUCCCUGUUAAUGCCAAUAUUAAUUGGUUCAGUAGGUUCAAAUCUUAGAAAUGUCUCGUUUAUUGGUCAAUUCAUGCUAAUGUUAGGUUCAAAUGUUUAAGUAUUGUGUCAUUUCUGAUUUCAGCUUAAUGAUAAAUUUAUUUAGGUUUUAGAGUUAAGUUGGGGUCUAAUUGCAUGAACGUUUUGGUCCUUUCAAUCUGCGAUUUGUGUCAAUCUUGGUCUUUGUUUUGUUAGUUCUGAUUUGUGAACAAAGUGAAGUUUAGGGGUUCAAUAGAACAAAUAAAAAACUUAAGGGGUCUGGGAAGGGUAUGAAACAACUUUUUAGAUAAGGCUGGUACAAGAAGUUUCUAGAACCUGGGGCAGCUGUCCCCAAUUGGUUAGCACAAAAAUGCUGAGUCAAUAAGGGAUAGCCAGCUGUCCCAGGUGGUUAAAAAAUAUGCAUUUUUAGGCUGAGGGAAUAUUUCCCUGAUUUGGUUUUCAGCACAUGGUCUCUUAGGCCUAUAAUUAGUACUCUCCCCUCACUCAUUAGGGGACGGAUUUUAGAGAAAGAUUUGGCAUUCUGAAAAAGACCUUUAAAAUACAACAAAAGUUCUUUGCAUUCCUUUCGUUAAGAAUUUGGCUCGAAUUGCCUUUCUGAUUUUUCCAAAAAAAACUUUCAUAAGGAUUUCUGGUGUUCCAAAUUGAAAAUGGCUGGUUAUUGAAGCUGUUUGUUCUGAUCAUCAUUACUGUUAUUUUGCUGCUGGCUUUCUGUUGAUGUUCAUUUAGCUAAAUUUCAGGGUUUUUCUUUUCCCUUAUUGUUGUAUCCAGGUACUUUCACAGCUCUUGAAAUGCAAAAUAUGAAGAUACAGUAUGCUGAUUGGAAGUGAAAACUUCAGAUCUAUUUCUUGUUUAGUGUCUUUCCUUGUUUUUCUUCCUUUAUUUGGUAGUUUUCCUUCCAUUUGUUUAAGUUGUUUUCCUUCUCGGUAAAUUUGAUGUCUAUUUCUAUUCAAUCAAUCAUAGGUUGAAAGUUAGAGUUGGUUUAGUAUUUCAUGUGUGUUUGAAUAGCUUUGUUACUGUUUGAAAACUGUAAUAUUUGGGGACUGUGUGGGACUUAUGAUAGUAUGUGAUUUGUGCACACUGGUAUGGAUAAAUGCCUUCAACUAAGUUUUGAUAAGUGUCAAAGUUAUUUGAGGCCAG